UACGGGGGGUGCAAGCGUUACUCGGAAUCACUGGGCGUAAAGAGCAUGUAGGCGGAUUGAUAAGUUGGAAGUGAAAUCCUAUAGCUUAACUAUAGAACUGCUUCCAAAACUGUUGAUCUAGAAUAUGGGAGAGGUAGAUGGAAUUUCUGGUGUAGGGGUAAAAUCCGUAGAGAUCAGAAGGAAUACCGAUUGCGAAGGCGAUCUACUGGAACAUUAUUGACGCUCAGAUGCGAAAGCGUGGGGAGCAAACAGGAUUAGAUACCCUGGUAGUCCACGCCCUAAACGAUGUACACUAGUUGUUGCUAUACUAGAUAUGGCAGUAAUGCAGUUAACACUUUAAGUGUACCGCCUGGGGAGUACGGUCGCAAGAUUAAAACUCAAAGGAAUAGACGGGGACCCGCACAAGCGGUGGAGCAUGUGGUUUAAUUCGACGAUACGCGAAAAACCUUACCUGGCCUUGACAUAGUAAGAACUUUCUAGAGAUAGAUUGGUGCUAGCUUGCUAGAGCUUACAUACAGGUGCUGCACGACUGUCGUCAGCUCGUGUCGUGAGAUGUUGGGUUAAGUCCCGCAACGAGCGCAACCCACGUGAUUAGUUGCUAACGAUUCGGCCGAGAACUCUAAUCAGACUGCCUUCGUAAGGAGGAGGAAGGUGUGGACGACGUCAAGUCAUCAUGGCCCUUACGGCCAGGGCUACACACGUGCUACAAUGGGAUAUACAAAGAGCAGCAAUACCGCGAGGUGGAGCAAAUCUAGAAAAUAUCUCCCAGUUCGGAUUGUUCUCUGCAACUCGAGAACAUGAAGUUGGAAUCGCUAGUAAUCGUAGAUCAGCAUUGCUACGGUGAAUACGUUCCCGGGUCU
rnacentral:rRNA from 1 species